UACAGAGACUGCAAGCGUUAUUCGGAUUCACUGGGCGUAAAGGGUGCGUAGGCGGGUCUUUAAGUCAGGGGUGAAAUCCUGGAGCUCAACUCCAGAACUGCCUUUGAUACUGAGGAUCUUGAGUUCGGGAGAGGUGAGUGGAACUGCGAGUGUAGAGGUGAAAUUCGUAGAUAUUGGGAAGAACACCGAUGGCGAAGGCAGCCAUCUGGACCGACACUGACGCUGAGGCGCGAAAGCGUGGGGAGCAAACAGG
rnacentral:rRNA from 1 species